AGUGAACGCUGGCGGCAGGCCUAACACAUGCAAGUCGAGCGGCAGCGCGUCCGACCACCCUCGGGUGGUCGGAUGGCGGCGAGCGGCGGACGGGUGAGGAAUGCAUCGGAAUCUGCCUCGUUGUGGGGGAUAACGUAGGGAAACUUACGCUAAUACCGCAUACGACCUACGGGUGAAAGUGGGGGACCUUCGGGCCUCACGCGAUGAGAUGAGCCGAUGCCGGAUUAGCUAGUUGGCGGGUAAAGGCCCACCAAGGCGACGAUCCGUAGCUGGUCUGAGAGGAUGAUCAGCCACACUGGAACUGAGACACGGUCCAGACUCCUACGGGAGGCAGCAGUGGGGAAUAUUGGACAAUGGGGGCAACCCUGAUCCAGCCAUGCCGCGUGUGUGAAGAAGGCCUUCGGGUUGUAAAGCACUUUUGUUGGGGAAGAAACCGGCCGGGUUAAUACCCUGGUUGAAUGACGGUACCCAAAGAAUAAGCACCGGCUAACUUCGUG
rnacentral:rRNA from 1 species